AUUGAACGCUGGCGGCAGGCCUAACACAUGCAAGUCGAGCGAGCGGCGGACGGGUGAGUAAUGUCUGGGUAACUUCCUGAUGGAUGGGGAUAACUAUUGGAAACGGUAGCUACUACCGCAUACCAUCAGAUGUGCCCAGAUGGGAUUAGCUAGUAGGUGGGGUAAUGGCUCACCUAGGCGACGAUCCCUAGCUGGUCUGAGAGGAUGACCAGCCACACUGGAACGGAGACACGGGCCAGACUCCUGCGGUAGGCAGCAGUGGGGAAUAUUGCACAAAAGGGGGAAGUCUGAUGCAGCCAUGCGGCGUGUGUGAAGAAGGCCUUCGGGUUGUAAAGAACUUUCAGCGGGGAGGCGUUACCCGCAGAAGAAGCACCGGCUAACUCCGUGCCAGCAGCCGCGGUAAUUC
rnacentral:rRNA from 1 species